AGCUUUGCACAGUGGCAGUAUCAUAGCCAGUGAGGUUUAUGCAAGGCACGAUUAUUGCUAAUAAGUGAGCCCAAGGCCAGUGGACUACGUAGUGAGACCCUGUCUUUUUUUUGGUACCGGGGAUCGAACUCG
rnacentral:snRNA from 1 species